UACGUAGGGCGCAAGCGUUAUCCGGAAUUAUUGGGCGUAAAGAGCUCGUAGGCGGUCUGUUGCGUCCGCUGUGAAAACUCGGGGCUUAACCCCGAGCCUGCAGUGGAUACGGGCAGACUAGAGGUAGGUAGGGGAGAAUGGAAUUCCCGGUGUAGCGGUGAAAUGCGCAGAUAUCGGGAAGAACACCCGUGGCGAAGGCGGCUCUCUGGGACGGUACUGACGCUGAGACGCGAAAGCGUGGGGAGCGAACAGG
rnacentral:rRNA from 1 species